rnacentral:rRNA from 1 species
UACGAAGGGGCUAGCGUUGUUCGGAAUUACUGGCGUAAAGCGCACGUAGGCGGACUAUUAAGUCAGGGGUGAAAUCCCGGGCUCAACCCGGAACUGCCUUUGAUACUGGUAGUCUCGAGUCCGGAAGAGGUGAGUGGAAUUCCGAGUGUAGAGGUGAAAUUCGUAGAUAUUCGGAGGAACACCAGUGGCGAAGGCGGCUCACUGGUCCGGUACUGACGCUGAGGUGCGAAAGCGUGGGAGCAACAGG